UACGUAGGGGGCAAGCGUUGUCCGGAAUUAUUGGGCGUAAAGAGCGUGUAGGCGGUCCGGUAAGUCCGCCGUGAAAGUCCAGGGCUCAACCCUGGAAUGCCGGUGGAAACUGUCGGGCUGGAGUCCGGAAGAGGCGAGUGGAAUUCCUGGUGUAGCGGUGAAAUGCGUAGAUAUCGGGAGGAACACCAGUGGCGAAGGCGACUACCUGGCCUGUUCUUGACGCUGAGGCGCGAAAGCUAGGGGAGCAAACGGG
rnacentral:rRNA from 1 species